rnacentral:rRNA from 1 species
GACGAACGCUGACGGCGUGCUUAACACAUGCAAGUCGAAGGGAGUGGCGAACGGGUGAGUAACACGUGAGUAACCUGCCCUUUUCUUUGGGAUAAGCCUGGGAAACUGGGUCUAAUACUGGAUGGAUUGGGAUGGGCUCGCGGCUUAUCAGCUUGUUGGUGGGGUGAUGGCUUACCAAGGCUUUGACGGGUAGCCGGCCUGAGAGGGGGGUCGGUCACACUUGGGCUGGGAUACGGCCCAGAAUCCUACGGGAGGCAGCAGGGGGGGAUUGUGGCCAAUUGACGAAAGUCUGAUGCAGCGACGUCGGGUGGGGGAUGAAGGCCUUUCGGUUGGAAACUCCUUUCGCCCGGGGAAUGGGAGUUGGGAAAGAAGCGCCGGCUAACUACGUGCCAGCAGCCGCGGUAAUUC